GCAGAAGGGGAUGGUGUGGUUCAGUGGUAGAGCAUCAGCCUUGCAUGCAGAAGGUCUUGGGUUCAGUCCCUGGUAUCUGCA